rnacentral:miRNA from 1 species
UGAGGCAGGAGAAUUGCUUGAACCCAGGAAGUGGAGGUUGCAGUGAGGCAAGAUCGUGCCACUGCACUCCAGCCUGGGUGACAGAGCGAGACUCCGUCUC